rnacentral:rRNA from 1 species
GUGCCAGCCGCCGCGGUAAUACGGAGGGUGCAAGCGUUAUCCGGAUUUAUUGGGUUUAAAGGGUCCGUAGGCGGACUCGUAAGUCAGUGGUGAAAUCUCAUAGCUUAACUAUGAAACUGCCAUUGAUACUGCGGGUCUUGAGUAAAGUAGAAGUGGCUGGAAUAAGUAGUGUAGCGGUGAAAUGCAUAGAUAUUACUUAGAACACCAAUUGCGAAGGCAGGUCACUAUGUUUUAACUGACGCUGAUGGACGAAAGCGUGGGGAGCGAACAGGAUUAGAUACCCUGGUAGUCCACGCCGUAAACGAUGCUAACUCGUUUUUGGGACUUCGGUUUCAGAGACUAAGCGAAAGUGAUAAGUUAGCCACCUGGGGAGUACGUUCGCAAGAAUGAAACUCAAAGGAAUUGACGGGGGCCCGCACAAGCGGUGGAUUAUGUGGUUUAAUUCGAUGAUACGCGAGGAACCUUACCAAGGCUUAAAUGGGAAUUGAUCGGUUUAGAAAUAGACUUUCCUUCGGGCAAUUUUCAAGGUGCUGCAUGGUUGUCGUCAGCUCGUGCCGUGAGGUGUUAGGUUAAGUCCUGCAACGAGCGCAACCCCUGUCACUAGUUGCUAACAUUAAGUUGAGGACUCUAGUGAGACUGCCUACGCAAGUAGAGAGGAAGGUGGGGAUGACGUCAAAUCAUCACGGCCCUUACGCCUUGGGCCACACACGUAAUACAAUGGCCGGUACAGAGGGCAGCUACUUAGCGAUAAGAUGCGAAUCUCGAAAGCCGGUCUCAGUUCGGAUUGGAGUCUGCAACUCGACUCUAUGAAGCUGGAAUCGCUAGUAAUCGCGCAUCAGCCAUGGCGCGGUGAAUACGUUCCCGGGCCUUGUACACACCGCCCGUCAAGCCAUGGAAGUCUGGGGUACCUGAAGUCGGUGACCGUAACAGGAGCUGCCUAGGGUAAAACAGGUAACUAGGGCUAAGUCGUAACAAGGUAGCC